rnacentral:lncRNA from 1 species
AGGCAAUAAUCUCAGAGCAAAAACAGCACCCAGUAGUCUACUUAUUUCCCCACCCCCACCCCACACUACCUCCUUCCCUCUGCCCCCGCUUUUCUGUGCCUCAGGUGUCGCAGCCACAUGUCAGGAUGGAGACACGCUGAAAGUAAGAAAUCAAAGCCAUCCAAGAAUGACUGAAGAGGAGAGACAAGCCUAAUGGUUUAGAUAAAGAUCUCAUCUCUUAGAGACUGCAAACAUCUUGAGUGUAGGAUCUGUAUCUUCCUAUCUCUGCUUCAACCACAGCAACUAUCUCGGGAAUCAACUGAGGUCCCUAAUGAGUAUACAAGGAAUACAGUAUACAAGGGGAAGACACACCUUAUGAAGGAUGAAAUGACUUGUUUAAGGGAAGGAAGGCACUGAGUCACUCAGGAAUGACCCACUCAGGAAGUGAGUGGGAACUUUUCAAUAUUGAACCUUCUGAGUCUGAAAAGGCUGUGGAACUCUUUGCUUCCCGAUCCUUUAGGAGAGGCGAGCUGUCAAAGGCCACCACACUUGGGGUUAUGUAUCAAUGUAAAGUAUAUUCUAAGACAUCACAGAGAACAGAUAUGAAGCUGAUACGUGACAGAUUUGAUAGCAAUUAAAGUAACAGAACAUGCUUUCACCUUGGAAUGAAGUCAUUAUUUGUCAACACUUUUCUUAAAAGAUAAAAUUGGAGUUUUUCAGACUCACUAUUCUAGACAGUGUUAGAGAAAUUUGAAAAUUGUCUACUAGUUUGUUAAAGAUGUUUUAAAAUAUGUUCUAAAGUUGCUUAUUAGUGUUUUUCUGAAAAAAUUGUUUAAAAAGAACAAAUGGG